UACGUAGGGUGCGAGCGUUGUCCGGAAUUACUGGGCGUAAAGAGCUCGUAGGUGGUUUGUCGCGUUGUCCGUGAAAACUCACAACUCAAUUGUGGGCGUGCGGGCGAUACGGGCAGACUGGAGUACUGCAGGGGAGACUGGAAUUCCUGGUGUAGCGGUGGAAUGCGCAGAUAUCAGGAAGAACACCGAUGGCGAAGGCAGCUCUCUGGGACGGUACUGACGCUGAGACGCGAAAGCGUGGGGAGCGAACAGG
rnacentral:rRNA from 1 species